GCCAGGAGAAAGGGGAAAACGACGGGAUCAGGCGGGUCUUGACGUCAUCGGCCUUGCAAGCCAAUGAUCGAGGGCAACGCCUCAGGCCGGAAAGGAAGACUGGCAGCCAAUCUUCGGGCAAGGCGACAAAGGGACGGAAGUGGAAAGGAAAGCCGUGCUUUGUACCGCUCUGGGCAUUGGAAGCAAGCCGGGAAGCCGCCUCUCGUUUAUACUGUUUCAGGUACCACAGGUGAGAGACCAGUUUUGCAAGAGGCUAAAUGAAUUAACCUUCUGAUACGGUCCUCGUGACAUUCCGGAUGGUGGAUGAGGUUCUACAGAACAUUUCUGAAACAAAUGCAGAAAUCAGUGGAAUAACUUAUUGCCACCUCAAGAGUUAUUACCAUUGCGGCGCCCCAUGGUCACGUCAAAAUUCAACUGCUUGGCAACUGCCUCACAUUUAUGACAGUCACAGUGUUCUGGGACACGUGAUCUCCUCUUGCAACCUUCUGUCAAACAAGUCAAUGGGGAAGCCAGAUUCACUUAACAACCAUGUUUCUAAGUUAACAACUGCAGUGCUUCACUUAACAACUGUGGUAAAAGAGGUCUUUUCUCCAUAA
rnacentral:lncRNA from 1 species